GAUGAACGCUGACAGAAUGCUUAACACAUGCAAGUCCACUUGAAUUUGGGUUUUUAACUUAGGUUUGGGUGGCGGACGGGUGAGUAACGCGUAAAGAACUUGCCUCACAGCUAGGGACAACAUUUGGAAACGAAUGCUAAUACCUAAUAUUAUGAUAAUAGGGCAUCCUAUAAUUAUGAAAGCUAUAAGCGCUGUGAGAGAGCUUUGCGUCCCAUUAGCUAGUUGGAGAGGUAACGGCUCACCAAGGCGAUGAUGGGUAGCCGGUCUGAGAGGGUGAUCGGCCACAAGGGGACUGAGACACGGCCCUUACUCCUACGGGAGGCAGCAGUGGGGAAUAUUGGACAAUGGACCGAGAGUCUGAUCCAGCAAUUCUGUGUGCACGAUGAAGUUUUUCGGAAUGUAAAGUGCUUUCAGUUGGGAAGAAACAAAUGACGGCACCAACAGAAGAAGUGACGGCUAAAUACGUG
rnacentral:rRNA from 1 species